rnacentral:rRNA from 1 species
AAUGAACGCUGGCGGUAGGCCUAACACAUGCAAGUCGAACGCGUGGCGGACGGGUGAGGAAUACAUCGGAAUCUACUCUGUCGAGGGGGAUAACGUCGGGAAAAUUACGCUAAUACCGCAUACGAUUGAUUGAGCCGAUGUCGGAUUAGCUAGUUGGCGGGGUAAAGGCCCACCAAGGCGACGAUCCGUAGCUGGUCUGAGAGGAAGAUCAGCCACAGUGUAACGUAGACACGGGCCAGACUCCUACGGGAGGCAGCAGUGGGGAAUAUUGGACAAUGGGCGCAAGCCUGAACCAGCCAUACCGCGUGGGUGAAGAAGGCCUUCGGGUUGUAAAGCCCUUUUGUUGGGAAAGCGGUACCCAAAGAAUAAGCACCGGCUAACUUCGUGCCAGCCGCCGCGGUAAUUC